GGGCGAUUAGCUCAGAGGAAGAGCGCCGCGUUUACAUCGCGGAUGCGGGGGUUCGAGUCCCUCAUCGCCCA
rnacentral:tRNA from 1 species